rnacentral:lncRNA from 1 species
GUGAUAUGUGCUGAAAUUGCAUUUAGGUAUUGCUGGAGAAUCAUGAUAAACUGCAACAGCCCUUAGAGAUGAGCUUGCAUAGAAAGGCCGCCUGCACACUGAAGGACAGAGGUUAGCGUUCUACCUAAGGGUUACAUUUAAUAUCUUGUGGUUCAAUCGUCUCCAUUGAUGGACUCCACCUGUAUACAUUGACUUCAUGCGAAUGGCAUAGUUGGAUACACCAAUUGCAUUCUUGAUGACUUUCUCAGGGGAACCAAUUUCCUCCUCAUCCAGUUGUCUCAUUUGGGUCCAGGGAGAAGACAGUCCUAGCCUGAAGUCAGCUGAGCCUAAAGCUUCAGCUUUGAAGAAUUGCUGUGCAGGGAAGCUGAACUUCUGGUCUGGGGUACACUUCAGCAGUCAUUGCCAGAACGUACUGACAGCUCCUUGCAGGGAAUGGAGAAAGUUGGAGUUAAUUGAGCAUUUCGAGGGAGACUGA